GACCUCGGAUCAGGUAGGGA
rnacentral:rRNA from 6 species